CUCAAUUCUAAUCACGUCAGUUUGACAACAGUUGUCAUUUCCAUGGACUGUCGUUUUCGUUUGCAUGAGUGUUUUUGAUGGCAAAAAAUUGGGGAAGUUUUUUCAUUUUCAGAAUUGUCGGAUGACCGUAAAAUGUGAUCGAUAUAUAUACCGUUGAACGAGGAACGUCUACCGAACCUUCUGAUGACGAAUCAUCCGGUUCGCACUUCCACUGCAGAAUCACACAGUCAAGAAGUUGUUGCUGCUUCACUGGGAAAUCCUGCCGAAGACUUUACCAUAUGGUGUUUGGCUGCAGGAGAUGAUUGCAAGCAAGCCGGAAACUCCUGGAAUUUAUGAUCCCAGCUAUUCGAGCUUUUCUUAAACACCACCAUUCGUAUGUUAGAAGGAAUACCGUGCUAUAUCUACAAAUACUUCGGGUAGGACCUACCACCCAGACGAGCCGUAAUUGAUUGCAAACUUUUUGGGUACGGAGCAGAAUAUGUUUUAUUUCGCUUGCAUUAAUGCAUUUCAAUGUUACACGCCGAUCAGAAAAGAGCAUUGAUCUAUUUAUCUUCAUGUCUUGAUGGUUUGUACUUUAGAAGAAUGCUUCCAAGACUCACAAUGGCAAUGGAGGCAACGGAAAGUAUCCUUAACUCCUGGUCGGAACUCUUCCCUGUUGUUACAUCAAAUUUCACUGCAACUGUAAUACCUAGAAACUCAGAAGUUUGCCCAGCUGCCAAUUCUCUAAAAAUUCAACGAGCAGCACUCUGGAUCCAUGAAGAGUACACAACAUCGUCGAGGGAUAUCAUGGAUGCGAUUGUCGUCUAACCCUGGAUGGUACCUCGAAAUACUCAUUGUCGAUGCCGAGCGGAGGCGACUGGCCGGCAAUGAAAAGGGGAACAAAAGAGGGCCUGGCGCUUCGAAACAACAAAGUCACGUCGGAUGGAACGUAGCAGAGCGCUUUCAGUAUUGCUCCGUUUCUCAAAAAAGUGGCACGGCUUCUACUGCGCCAGUAUCUAAUAGAGGACUAUUCUUACAUUGCUGCCAAAUUUGCUUCCACUUCAACCAAAAGAACCAUUGACGAAUACAUAGACGGAGGGGUGGCCAUUUUUCCGGGCACCACUAUAUACCCCUGGGGAGUGACGGAUUACAAUUAUUACAAUCACUCGACCAUUGAGAAGCCCCUCAAUUCGAAUCAGUUUGUCAGUUGUCAGUCAGUUUGACAACAGUUGUCAUUUCCAUUUUUGUUUACCUCCUGUUUCUGAUUCAAAAAUCAAUGAAUCGAGACGAGUUUGUCGAUUUGAGUGCAGUUAUGGUGAAACAAUAAUAAUAAAGCCUAAAACAUGGAUGAUGAUGAUUAUUCUGGACGAUGAGAUGCACCGGUGAAUUAGCUCAGCAGCGGCAACAACAACAGCUAGGGGUCUACAAUCCGGGUCCAUCCAUGAUCAUCACGGUGGAAACCAAUGUUCUGAAGCCGAAACAAGAAACACAACAACAGCGGUACACUCGAGGUCAGGGAGUGAAACGUACCAGCAAUGGCGCUAAAGUGGUACCCACCAAGAAAAUUCAUCCUCGAGCGUUUCCCGAAGUGAAGCAAUUGGAUUAACGGAGGAGGAGGAUGUCUGCGAUUGUGUCGUUAGACGUUGAUGGGAUCGACACGGACGACGCGCCGGAGGGGUAAGAGCAGCAGCUGGUGAAGCAUGAGCAAGAGUACUACAAUGUUGAACCGCUGGAGUCAGAUGUUUGGAACGACUUGAUAACGGGGUCAAUCAAGAGAUUCUUAAUCUGCUUGAGUUGUCGGACCUCAAGGACUACAUUGUGGACGCACGACGGAAAUACACGAUGACAUUUAUUCAAUAUGAAUAAUUGAUUAUAUUUACGGAGAUACAUUUGCAUAACUUGGGGACUCGCAUUGCUGCCCACACUACCGUAAUGUGUAAUAAAUUACCGUAAUGAUUACGAAUACAUACCUAUUUUAAGAUAA